AUUGAACGCUGGCGGAAUGCUUUACACAUGCAAGUCGAGCGGCAGCGCGGGGCAACCUGGCGGCGAGCGGCGAACGGGUGAGUAAUACAUCGGAACGUGCCCAGACGUGGGGGAUAACUACUCGAAAGAGUGGCUAAUACCGCAUACGAUCUACGGAUGAAAGCGGGGGAUCGCAAGACCUCGCGCGUCUGGAGCGGCUGAUGGCAGAUUAGGUAGUUGGUGGGAUAAAAGCCUACCAAGCCAACGAUCUGUAGCUGGUCUGAGAGGAUGAUCAGCCACACUGGGACUGAGACACGGCCCAGACUCCUACGGGAGGCAGCAGUGGGGAAUAUUGGACAAUGGGCGAAAGCCUGAUCCAGCAAUGCCGCGUGAGUGAUGAAGGCCUAGGGUUGUAAAGCUCUUUUACCAGGGAUGAUAAUGACAGUACCUGGAGAAUAAGCUCCGGCUAACUCCGUGCCAGCAGCCGCGGUAAU
rnacentral:rRNA from 1 species